GCCAGUGUGGUGUAGUGGUUUGAGUGUUGGACUGUGACUCUGAAGGCGAGGGUUUGAAUCCCAACUCAACCA